UGAUGCGGAGACCAUGGAUCCAUGAAAUCAAGUUCCAACAAGUUACCGUGAAUUUAUUUACGAAUAAUUUCACUACCUUAUUAAUUCCUCGUGACUUCACUAUAGACUCGGAAUUGAACUCUUGAAUUCAUAGAACGUAUUUUCAAAACCAUAAAUACGUUAUCCAUUGUUAUAACCAUUACAAUCAGUCAAUCCUCUAUUGAUGACUUACUAACGAGUUGGGUGCAAAUUACCGUUUUACUCCUCAUCAGUAUUUUAUCCUUAACUCCCACUAAGUUCCUUAUAAAUGAUAUUUCCGUGAACUUAAUCACAGAAAUGAGAUCUCAAUCAUUUAACCUUUUGAACAAAGCAAUUAAGGAAAUCAUCUUUUCACUUCUCAUACAGAAGUUAUAGAUUUCGUAUCUAUGAAUAAUACUCCCACUCAAUUACACUAAUAAAUCUCCAAGAUGUAAGUAUGGGCUAGACCGUAGGGUAAGCUGGUAACGAACAAGUCAAAAGAUUUAAAUAAUAUAAUUAGCAGAAUAUUAUCACUCAGAAUUAAGAUCGACUUAAUAUAUGGUCAACGUUGUGAUAUUGAUUAGAUUUGAUAACAACGAUACUUACUUAUCAAUCAAUAAUUAAUAUCGGUCCUAGUCCGAUGUAACUAAAUACAUCCGAUCUUAUCUACUUGGUCGAAGCCUUGGACAAGACAUCACACCCUGAAUGUGUAAGUAGAUCAUAUCGUAGAUUGCCUAAUCAGUGAAAAUCCAAUGCACUGAUCUAAUCUUAGGACUCGUUCUUUUGAACAUAUAAUUACAACUAUAAUCUACUGUGACCUAGUCACUAUAAUUGUAACUAUCCAUAUGUUCGAGAUUUUAUAAAUGUUUGUAUUAUUUCAAUAAUCAUGUAAUAAACACAAGCAAGCAACACAGUUUUCAAACUAAAUGAUUUUUACUACUUUUAUUGAUAAUAUGAAAUCGUGCUACAUGUCCGACAUGGUUUUAUAAGGGCAUAAAACCCAACAGUGUCCACUUCCCCACUCUCUCGUGUGGGUACACGCUCAAAGCCUGAACUUUACAAUAGUUCGGGGCUCCCUUCGAGUUCAUUUUACCCUUUUGAGACUUCAGUCUUGAUUGAGGUAAAUUCGUGAUCUCGAACUUUCGAGCUCGGAUUACCAAAUUUACGCUUUCUUUGUGAUUUCCCUUUUACUGGGCCCUCACCCUUUUCUUUCUUGUUAGAUGUCGCAGUACCCUGAGACUCGGUGGGGGCCCAAGCUCGCUAUUCCUUACUCCCCGUCAACUCCCAGUCCUGAAUCACCUUUCACACAAUACCAGCGCCAGAUACGCGAGCAUAGAGAAAGGUGCGAGCAAGAAAACACCCGAGAUCGGUUUCGACGUCAAAUUGAUGAGGUCGAGGAGAGAAAGAGAAGAAUACUCCGGGUUGCAGUUUAUCCAGAUCCAGACCUCAAAAUUAGACCAAUUCCACUAGAUCCUAAGCUCAAAGUCACAGUGCCUUCAAGCCUGGUGCACUUUCAUUUUCACUGAUGGAAGAUCUUUCACAACAUCCUUCCACUUCUCAAAUCGCGUCAAUUCCCACCUCCAAAGAAGAAUUCUUCAAGGCUGGGCACUAUUGGAGCUCAGUCACUUCUAUCAGCUAGAUAUCCGAGAUAUUGGCUUUCUGUGGACUAAAACUUCUGGCACUCUGAUGUGUCGGCCUGUGGCUUCGAACGAAUGGAGCUGCUUUGCCUCGAGAGAUGGAAAUCGCAUUAGCAAAAUCAAGCUCUCCGCAUGGAGUCGCGAGCAUAUGAGGGCAGGGGCUCUACUACCUCUGAAAACGUAUUUCAAGAAUUUUCUGGACUUUGUGGGGCUCGCCCCAUUCCAGCUCCAGACCAAUUCCUUCAGGGUCCUAUCAGUCCUUAGGUCGUUAUACCACGAGCUGAAGUGGGAAGGGCCCCCCUGCCUCAAGAGAUAUUAUAUCUCUUUUGUCUCAAAAGCAACCCAUCUCGAGCUCAUGGCCGGGACAACUUUUAUUAAUAAUCGAGCUACCCCAAGGAGAAAAAGCUCUUCUAAGAUAUGCCGAAUCAUCCCCCGAAUUUCAAACUUGCCUUCUCCACGACGGACGGUCUCGCUCCCUCCAGAUUUGACUCCUUUCAACGUAUCCGUAAGUACCCUAUCACACUUAUCCCCCUAUUUCUUUUUUAUAAACUAGUUGAGCUUGGAAUAUUGAUACUUAGUUGUUCUUGCAACCAAUUAUCAUAGCCCCACCCCACCAGAAAUGAUGGUGGAGCAUAGGGCAGCCCUGCUCCAACUGCCCUAUGGUUGGAGGUCCUUGUCCUACCUUCUCCUUGAAGACUGGCUCCGAGCCUGUGACCUCUUAGAGGAAGGCCAGUCUACGGAUGACUCGGCCUACUGCAAGUACUCAAGGUGGGACCACGUGCCACUUCCCAGUGACAGACUUCCCCCCAGGCGGAGGUCCUCGAGCUUGCAAGCUCGUGCCCCAGUGGCUCACUGACAGAAUCGACCUUCCUCGGGCAACAAAGCCCAAGACGAAGCCUCACUGAACUUGAAUGAUGGAGGUAACGUCGUGCUCAACUCCUCUAUGUGGUCUUUUUCAUGCUUAAGCACAAACCCGAUGUACUGAUCCUCUUCUCGGAUCCUAGAGAUAAUUUUCAUGUGUGGUCAUGGGUAGAUUAUAGAGUAUGUAGGUUUGAUAGCUUGUUAGGUCAGUAUCAAACCAUGUAUAGUCUGAACGAGGUCUGGGAUGGGGUUGCCGUUCAGUAUGGAACAAACAUGUAUAGAGAUCUUUCGAGACUAUCUCCCACAUAUAGAGAUGGGACUCCCCCAACAUCCUCAGAAGAUAGUGGAAUUUCCUGGUCACCGAGUUCGAGUUCGGUUGAGUGUACCAGUGUCAUGGAUUCCGAUCUCAACAACGUACUUAGCCGUCCCUCGGUGGACAAGGCAAGCAAACGCCAAAGGGCGUCUCAAAGAGGGGGGCAUCCCUCUGAAGUACUCAAAAGACCCAAGGUGGUCCCUCCAGCCUCGGUCGCUCAAAGCCCGACCCUGGCCACCGUGUCUACUCCCGAGGCUAGGGUAACAACUGAAGUUCCUGAGGUGAGGGUAACUACUGAAGUUCCCGAGGUGAGGGUAACAACUGAAGUUCCUGAGGUGAGGGUAACUACUGAAGUUCCCGAGGUGAGGGUAACUACUGAAGUUGAGCCAAUGGCACCCCCAAACCCCCUGUCUCUUCCUCCGGCACAAGUCUCCAAUCGAGCUCCCGGUGCCCAAAAAAGAGUUCCCACACGGGAAUGAUUAUGGACGAUCUCCACCCACGUCCUGGAAUACAUGGUCAACAAUGCUGCUGGGUCGCAUGGAGUAAAUCUGGGCUCGGACGUCUUGUCCCAUGUGGGCCAAAGUCUCAGCAACCUCGACGCCCCCCCAAUGGGAGUUCCUCACCUCCUGCCACAAUGCCAACACUGUCUUUGACAAAGGCAGUGAGCUCCUUUAUUCGGCACUUGCUUAUUUUGUUCAACACAACUUUAAGUUGAACAAUGAGAUGGUAACGAGCAGGGCACAUGCUCAAGAGGCCAGUGAUGCCAAGCUGAAGCUAGUAGAUGAGCUCAAAGCAGCGAGGCUAGAGGCAGCGGUAGGGUAGGCAAGCAUUCUGAAGGUGUCUGAGUUAGAGCUGAAGUUGAAGGCUGCCCAGAAGGUGUCUGACCUUGAGUCAACUAUGGAAGUAACCUUGAAAGAAGUUGAGGCCGAAAAUUCUGAGAUCCAGCAAAAAGAAUCCAAGAUUAAGGAACUACAAGAGUUAAACGCCAAGUUGGAGGAGGAAAAGAAGGUGACCUUCAAGAUAAUCGAAGGAGAGAAGACCCGCCUUCUUAAGGAGUUCAAGACCAAGAAAGAUCACGUCGUAGACAUGGCGAUGUAUCGGAUCUGGGUGAACAAUCAUGACCUCGAUACCAGCUUGGCCAACUUAGAGGCCAGAUUUGUUGACAAGUGGCAAGCUCGAAUUGAAGAAGAGGGGGCCAAACUCAAGGCUAAGGAGACGGCGGAGACACCCAACACUGCUGGCGGGGAGGCGUGAAGGCAAGAUCAUGGGCUGCGUCCCAUUAUAAUUUUUGUAAUAAUAAUUUAUUUUUAUAUGCAUGCCCCUUGGGGCGAAGACAAUAUGUAGCUCGAUCAAGAGCUACUUUUAUUAAAUACUAACUUUAACCUUUAGGCACAUAAUUUUCUGGCUCGAAAAUCUUUUAUGCACAUGAUUUUUCUUUUA